rnacentral:rRNA from 1 species
AUUGAACGCUGGCGGCAUGCUUUACACAUGCAAGUCGAACGGCAGCGCGGGGGGCAACCCUGGCGGCGAGUGGCGAACGGGUGAGUAAUGCAUCGGAACGUAUCCUGUAAUGGGGGAUAACGUAGCGAAAGUUACGCUAAUACCGCAUACGCUCGGGAGAGGAAAGUGGGGGAUCGCAAGACCUCACGUUACAGGAGCGGCCGAUGUCCGAUUAGCUAGUUGGUGGGUAAAGGCCUACCAAGGCGACGAUCAGUAGCUGGUCUGAGAGGAUGAUCAGCCACAUUGGGACUGAGAUACGGCCCAGACUCCUACGGGAGGCAGCAGUGAGGAAUUUUGCGCAAUGGGCGAAAGCCCUGACGCAGCAACGCCGCGUGACUGAUUAAGCUCUGAGGAGUGUAAAAGUCUGUCGUAGAGGAAGAAACUAUCCGAUAAGAAUAUUGUCGAUACUGACGGUACUCUAUGAGAAAGCUCCGGCUAACUCCGUACG